rnacentral:lncRNA from 1 species
GUGCGCAGCAGCGUCGUAACCAGGUCCGGUUCCCCGGCUGCUCCUUUUCCAGGAGGCCUGUCGUGCUACUGAAGAGCGACCCUGCAGCGCAGAGGAGGGCGCAGCCCGGCAGGCACAGGAGCCUAAGCCUGCCUUUCCGCGGAGGUUCAAGGCAGAAAGAAACCCAUUCCCAGGCUGAGGUAGCCAAGGUCACAGCAAGAACCUUCUCAGGGAAAUUGGGUGAAAGGAAAAAGACGCUGGCGCAGGCUUUGCUGUCAUACCUCAAAGUGCCAGGGUUAGGCCACUGCGUGUGACAAGCAUCAUGAAGACAGCAAGAGCAUGUGUGGGUACCACAGGGGAAGUUGCGCAGAGAGGCCUCAUUCACUGAAGAAAGCGAUUGAAUUGAAGUCAAGAGGAGUCAAGAUGAUGCCUAGCAAGGACAGCAGCCAUAAAAACUCCGUCUAUUCAAUUUGACCUGUCAAUAAUGAAGAAAGAAAACUACUGGAAGAUGAGAAGAAAGGAACUAAUUAUUUUAAAAUAAAAUUUUAGAAUUUUGUUAUGGUUAGCUUUUUGUUCAGAAUGGUCAAUAAAAUAGGUGAGGUACUAUUUGUAAUUAUUUUGAAAUUGAUUUUUUUAUGGAUUAAAAACCUUGCAGUAACAUAGAACUACAUAUCAAGUGAACCCUUACAUCAAAUCAAUAGG